rnacentral:rRNA from 1 species
UACGAAGGGGGCGAGCGUUGUUCGGAUUUACUGGGCGUAAAGGGCGCGUAGGCGGCGGGUCAAGUCGAGUGUGAAAGCCCCGGGCUCAACCUGGGAGGUGCGCUCGUGACUGGUCUGCUUGAGUUCGGGAGAGGAGAGUGGAAUUCCCAGUGUAGAGGUGAAAUUCGUAGAUAUUCGCAAGAACACCAGUGGCGAAGGCGGCUCACUGGCCCGGUACUGACGCUGAGGUGCGAAAGCGUGGGGAGCAAACAGG